rnacentral:rRNA from 1 species
UGUACACGCUGUGACUAGCAUAUCAAUAAGCGGAGGAAAAGCUAUACCUACGCUUAGGAUGUUGACGAGACUGUCGAUCUCAUCUAUACAUGACUCUGUGCAUAUCAAUAAGCGGAGGAAAAGAGGGCUAUUACCUACGCUUAGGAUGUUGACGAGACUGUCGAUCUCAUCUAUACAUGACUCUGUGCAUAUCAAUAAGCGGAGGAAAAGGUACCUACGCUUAGGAUGUUGACGAGACUGUCGAUCUCAUCUAUACAUGACUCUGUGCAUAUCAAUAAGCGGAGGAAAAGAGGGCUAUUACCUACGCUUAGGAUGUUGACGAGACUGUCGAUCUCAUCUAUACAUGACUCUGUGCAUAUCAAUAAGCGGAGGAAAAGUGCUACCUACGCUUAGGAUGUUGACGAGACUGUCGAUCUCAUCUAUACAUGACUCUGCGCAUAUCAAUAAGCGGAGGAAAAGUACUACCUACGCUUAGGAUGUUGACGAGACUGUCGAUCUCAUCUAUACAUGACUCUGUGCAUAUCAAUAAGCGGAGGAAAAGGUACCUACGCUUAGGAUGUUGACGAGACUGUCGAUCUCAUCUAUACAUGACUCUGUGCAUAUCAAUAAGCGGAGGAAAAGAGGGCUACUACCUACGCUUAGGAUGUUGACGAGACUGUCGAUCUCAUCUAUACAUGACUCUGUGCAUAUCAAUAAGCGGAGGAAAAGUCAAUACCUACGCUUAGGAUGUUGACGAGACUGUCGAUCUC